UACGUAGGGUGCAAGCGUUGUCCGGAAUUAUUGGGCGUAAAGAGCUCGUAGGCGGUCUGUCACGUCGGCUGUGAAAUCCCGAGGCUCAACCUCGGGUCUGCAGUCGAUACGGGCAAACUAGAGUAUUGCAGGGGAGACUGGAAUUCCUGGUGUAGCGGUGAAAUGCGCAGAUAUCAGGAGGAACACCGGUGGCGAAGGCGGGUCUCUGGGAAGGUACCGACGCUGAGGAGCGAAAGCGUGGGGAGCAAACAGG
rnacentral:rRNA from 1 species